AUUGAACGCUGGCGGCAGGCCUAACACAUGCAAGUCGAACGAGUGGCGGACGGGUGCGUAAUGUCUGGGAACCUGCCUGAUGGCGUGGGAUAACUACUGGAAACGGUAGCUAAUACCGCAUACCAUCAGAUGUGCCCAGAUGGGAUUAGCUUGUUGGUGGGGUAACGGCUCCCCAAGGCGACGAUCCCUAGCUGGUCUGAGAGGAAGACCAGCCACACUGGAACUGAGACACGGACCAGACUCCUACGGGAGGCAGCAGUGGGGAAUAUUGCACAAUGGGGGAAAGCCUGAUGCAGCCAUGCCGCGUGUAUGAUGAAGGCCUUCGGGUUGUAAAGUACUUUCGGCGGGGAGGCGGUACCCGCAGAAGAAGCACCGGCUAACUCCGUGCCAGCAGCCGCGGUAAUAC
rnacentral:rRNA from 1 species